rnacentral:rRNA from 1 species
UGGGGGAUAUUGCACAAUGGAGGAAACUCUGAUGCAGCAACGCCGCGUGAGGGAAGAAGGUCUUCGGAUUGUAAACCUUAGUAGUCAGGGACGAAAGAAAUGACGGUACCUGAAGAGUAAGCUCCGGCUAACUACGUGCCAGCAGCCACGGUAAUACGUAGGGAGCGAGCGUUGUCCGGAUUUACUGGGUGUAAAGGGUGCGUAGGCGGGACUGCAAGUCAGACGUGAAAUACCGGGGCUUAACCUCGGGGCUGCGUUUGAAACUGCGGUUCUUGAGUGAAGUAGAGGCAGGCGGAAUUCCUAGUGUAGCGGUGAAAUGCGUAGAUAUUAGGAGGAACACCAGUGGCGAAGGCGGCCUGCUGGGCUUUAACUGACGCUGAAGCACGAAAGCAUGGGGAGCAAACA